rnacentral:rRNA from 1 species
GAUGAACGCUGGCGGCGUGCUUAACACAUGCAAGUCGAACGGAAAGGCCCAAGCUUGCUUGGGUACUCGAGUGGCGAACGGGGGAGUAACACGUGGGUGAUCUGCCCUGCACUUCGGGAUAAGCCUGCGAAACUGGGUCUAAUACCGGAUAGGACGAGGCUUUGGAUUCCAUUGUGGAAAGCUUUUACGGUGUGGGAUUGGCUCGCGGCGUAUAAGCUUGUUGGUGGUGGAGUGGCCUAGCACGGCGUCGACGGGGAGCCGUCCUGAGAGGGUGUACGUACACACUGGGACCCUGCUGCGGCCCACAGUCCGACGUGAGGCAGAAGGGGGGCAUAUCGCACCCAGGGAGACAGCCUGAUGGAGGGACGCCGUGUGGGGGUUGAGGGCCUUUGGGUUGUAAAAAACUCUCGCGGGUGACGCCGCGUUUUUGUGACGGUACCUGGAGAAGAAGCACCGGCUAACUACGUG